UACGGGAGGCAGCAGUGGGGAAUAUUGCACAAUGGGCGCAAGCCUGAUGCAGCCAUGCCGCGUGUAUGAAGAAGGCCUUCGGGUUGUAAAGUACUUUCAGUCGUGAGGAGGGUGUUAAGGUUAAUAACCUUAGCAAUUGACGUUAGCGACAGAAGAAGCACCGGCUAACUCCGUGCCAGCAGCCGCGGUAAUACGGAGGGUGCGAGCGUUAAUCGGAAUUACUGGGCGUAAAGGGCACGCAGGCGGUUAAUUAAGUUGGAUGUGAAAUCCCCGGGCUUAACCUGGGAAUGGCAUUCAAGACUGGUUAGCUAGAGUCUUGUAGAGGGGGUAGAAUUCCAUGUGUAGCGGUGAAAUGCGUAGAGAUGUGGAGGAAUACCGGUGGCGAAGGCGGCCCCUGGACAAAGACUGACGCUCAUGUGCGAAAGCGUGGGGAGCAAGACGAGUAGUAGACCUCCUCGUGAAC
rnacentral:rRNA from 1 species